rnacentral:rRNA from 1 species
AUACGUAGGGUGCGAGCGUUAAUCGGAAUUACUGGGCGUAAAGCGUGCGCAGGCGGUUUUGUAAGACAGGCGUGAAAUCCCCGGGCUCAACCUGGGAAUGGCGCUUGUGACUGCAAGGCUAGAGUGCGUCAGAGGGGGGUAGAAUUCCACGUGUAGCAGUGAAAUGCGUAGAGAUGUGGAGGAAUACCGAUGGCGAAGGCAGCCCCCUGGGACGGGACUGACGCUCAUGCACGAAAGCGUGGGGAGCAAACAGGAUUAGAUACCCCAGUAGUCC